UACGGGGGGGGCAAGCGUUGUUCGGAAUUACUGGGCGUAAAGGGCUUGUAGGUGGCCAACUAAGUCAGACGUGAAAUCCCUCGGCUUAACCGGGGAACUGCGUCUGAUACUGGAUGGCUGGAGUGUGGGAGAGGGAUGCGGAAUUCCAGGUGUAGCGGUGAAAUGCGCAGAUAUCGGGAGGAACACCGGUGGCGAAGGCGGUUCUCUGGGCCUGUACUGACGCUGAGGAGCGAAAGCGUGGGGAGCGAACAGG
rnacentral:rRNA from 1 species